UGGGGAAUAUUGGACAAUGGGCGAAAGCCUGAUCCAGCCAUGCCGCGUGUGUGAAGAAGGUCUUCGGAUUGUAAAGCACUUUAAGUUGGGAGGAAGGGCAUUAACCUAAUACGUUAGUGUUUUGACGUUACCGACAGAAUAAGCACCGGCUAACUCUGUGCCAGCAGCCGCGGUAAUACAGAGGGUGCAAGCGUUAAUCGGAAUUACUGGGCGUAAAGCGCGCGUAGGUGGUUUGUUAAGUUGGAUGUGAAAGCCCCGGGCUCAAGCUGGGAACUGCAUUCAAAACUGACUGACUAGAGUAUGGUAGAGGGUGGUGGAAUUUCCUGUGUAACGUUGAAAUGCGUAGAUAUAGGAAGGAACACCAGUGGCGAAGGCGACCACCUGGACUAAUACUGACACUGAGGUGCGAAAGCGUGGGGAGCAAACA
rnacentral:rRNA from 1 species